rnacentral:rRNA from 1 species
GACGAACGCUGGCGGCGUGCUUAACACAUGCAAGUCGAACGGAAAGGCCCUGCUUUUGUGGGGUGCUCGAGUGGCGAACGGGUGAGUAACACGUGAGUAACCUGCCCUUGACUUUGGGAUAACUUCAGGAAACUGGGGCUAAUACCGGAUAGGAGCUCCUGCUGCAUGGUGGGGGUUGGAAAGUUUCGGCGGUUGGGGAUGGACUCGCGGCUUAUCAGCUUGUUGGUGGGGUAGUGGCUUACCAAGGCUUUGACGGGUAGCCGGCCUGAGAGGGUGACCGGCCACAUUGGGACUGAGAUACGACCCAGACUCCUACGGGAGGAAGCAGUGGGGAAUAUUGCACAAUGGGCGGAAGCCUGAUGCAGCAACGCCGCGUGCGGGAUGACGGCCUUCGGGGUGUAAACCGCUUUCGCCUGUGACGAAGCGUGAGUGACGGUAAUGGGUAAAGAAGCACCGGCUAACUACGUG